GUCUGGUCGAAAAUAAGAAAGUACAAUUAUAAAUCAUAUAACAAAGUAGAUUUGGGAAAUUAUUAGAGUGCUCAAUUGAGGUAAGACUGGGAUUUAGUAAAAAAAAAAUGUGGAAACUAGAUAAGAAAUCUGAAAUGUAAUUAAGAUUUAAAAAAAACAAUAAAAAAAAAAAAAGAACUGAAAAUACCCCAAACACGAAAUUUGUAAUAUCAAGGAAAC
rnacentral:lncRNA from 1 species